AAAAAGAAGAAAAAUCCUAGCACCCUAAAAACAAACGCAGCCCCGUCACCUCUGAAACACCAAAUGACCAGCUCCACCAGCUCCUCGCCAGCCACCUCUAACCCGCCGGAAUUCUUCAAUCUAGUCGUCUCCAUCUUCAACCAAAAGAAAGAAGAAGCAGCAGCGGUCCGAUCUGGAAAAACAAAGAAAACCAAGGACCUUCUUCUUCAUCUGACCCACUUCACGCCGCCGAACAGCAACAAAUAAGCGUCCUCUUCAACCCCUUCUUCAUCUUCACUGGAACUUACAGAAUACCAUGUUCCUCUAGAACUCAAACACACACACACACACGCUGAAGCAGCAGAUAGGCAAGGGCAGUGAACAAAAAAAGGGGUUUAAAACAGUAAAGAAUCCAAGGCUCGUUAAGCAUCCUUUUCUGGCAAGUUUCGAGUUUUUCGACUAAGUUUCAAUGCAUUUUUCUGUUGGUUCUUUGUUCAAGUCCGAUCGAGGCUUCGUUUGAGGUGGCCUGAAUCCGUCGAGCCAACUUUUCGAGGUUCAAUCCCAGUUCUAACCCAUCCGUUGCUUAUCAAGGUCUUAUCCGUUUGAUUCGAUUUCACGAAACUGAGGUCACAAUUCUCGUUCCCUUAAAUCUUAUGUGUGAUGAUAUGAUUCUGACUAUUGAAUAGAUCAAUACUUGCCUUAAUGUGAAUUUCAUGGCUAAUCUGAUUUAGAUAUUGCAUUGUUAUUUGAUUUUAGAACAACAAAAAUCUGAUUAUCUGUUUUGCCUUAAUGAUGUAAAAAAAAAGAGUAUUAAACUGAUUUUACUCAUGCAUGUUGAAUGGCUAAUAUGUAAAAUUGGACUUUAAACAUCUUACUACUUUAUUUGUUUGCCUUUUAACAUCGUUAGUAUUAUAUUUAGGUCGUCGAUACUUGGGUAGGCAAGCUUUAGGAUUUUUUUUAGUUUUGAGGUGAGAGGUUGUCCCUUAGAUAAAUUUAUCCGGCGAAUGCCCCGAAGUACUUUGUAAAUACUUUGGAGGUCGGGACGGGUUUGUGAAGGAAGCAUUGUGUAGUAUUUUAUUCUUAUUUCUGUUCUUAUUUUUCUUUUAUUAGGUGGGGAUGGCCUCGAGCCCUUUUGUGUGUUUAUUUUGCUGUGUUUGUUUAACCUCAAUCGAAUAUUUUACUAGCCAACUCUAUAUGUACACAACCGUACUAGUUACGGGACUCGUGGAACGCCUAACACCUUCUCCGCGAGUCAAAUGAACACCCUCACCUGAAUUUCUGGUGUGGACUUGGUUUUUGAGUCUGAAAUGUAUUAAAAGGAAAAAUCACUUAAGAAAAUAAAUGGUGACCUGGCACACCGAAAUCAAAUAUCAGAUGGUGACUCUGAGUUAUUUUCCUUUUGAAACAAAUUUUUGUCACUUUUCAAAUGGAAAACCACUUUCAAGCUCUUACUAAAUCCUUUUAUUUAUUCAAAGUGAGUUUGGUGAGGUUUUGUUUUAAAAAAGGGUGUGACAUCUCUGGCGACUCUGCUGGGGAGUUGCGGGUUCGAGCUAGUACUUGAUUUUGUAAUCUCUUUUAUAUAUUUUAAUAGGGGUUAGGAAUGAAAAAAAUGGGUGUGACAGCUCUGACGACUCUGCUCAGGAGUUGCAGGUUCGAGCUAGUACUAGAUCUUAUUGGCUUCUUAGGAUAUUCGAUUGAGGUUUUUAUGUGUUUUGUUUGCUUUAUUUGAUUUUUAUUUUGUUUAUUUCAUUUUAUUAUUUGCUAGUUGCUUAUUUGUUUACAAUUUUUCCUUUAUGUAUUUACUGCUUUAUAACUGUCAUCAUAUGCAUAGCCAUGGGUCUUCUUUCUGCAAUAAGUUUCGGAGCACGCGUCGCGUGCACAAACUCUUUGUUGAGUCACCCUUAAUUUAGGAGGCGACCGUCGGACGUAUGGAGUAGGUGGAAAGCUUGAGCAGCCACCAUCGACCAUACGCUCCCACGAAUUGCCUUUUUAGUGAACCCCAAAUUUAGGUUAGCCGUAGGUCAUUUUUAUUUGCAUCAUGUCAUUUACACCUAGUACGGCUCGGUCCCAGGUACCGUGUCCCUUUGUAGGGAGUCUGCCCAAAUUUUUUCAAAAUGGGCCCAUAGCCCAAAAUGAUAUUUAAUUAUCCUAUGUGCUAAAUGUGCAUCUUUGAGGGUAAAAAUAUCAUUUGGCGGACCGAUGUUUGGGAAAGAAGGGUGAAAAAUGAAGCAAGUAAGGCCCACUCACAUUUUUCUUUCAUAGUUUUCCAAAAAAUAAAAAAAGUAAAAAUGAAAAAUCCAAAAAUUUUUUUACACUUUUUCAUUAUUUUUCAAAAAUCCAUAAAAAGGAGAAAAAAGAAAAUCAAAAUCCUAGUGGGUCUUAGGUUAUUGGCUUGCGGGGUCUUAGCCAAAUCUUGCAUGUCUAGCCACUUUUUGCCACAUCGGCUAUUCCUGCAAAAUGGGGUCAUUUUUGCAAAAGUGGUUCAAUCACCCAUGUCUUUAAAUUUUGAGUCCACAAUUAGGUAUCAUAUUACUUUAAGGUCCGUCCUUUUGAGUUUGCAUCUUUAGCAACUUUCGGCCACAUAGGCUAUUUUUGCGAAAUGUGUUAUUUCUGGAAAUUAAUUUUUGGUUCAUGAUAUUGGGAGUUUGAAUCCAUAAAGUCUUACUUAGUUAUUUUUAAUGUCCAUGAGGUCAAUUUUGUUGAGUUUGCAUUAAUAGCGACUCUUGUCCAUAUAGGUUAAUGUUCAAAAAAUAGCUCAAUCUUGUCUUGCAUGUGUCCAAUAGGAGGUGCGGUCUCACAUAGUGUCUUGAGUCUAUUAAUCUGUUUGGCUUUGUUUUUCUCAUUCAGGUAUGGAUUCAUUUACCACAGCUCGAGAAUGAUUGAUACUCCAGGACCACUGCAUUCAGGAGCUACUUGAUGAGUUUUUUUAUUUUUUGAGCAUGUUUUUGAGUUUUUAGGCGGUUUAAGAGUUUGUCUAGUCUUUUGUUAGCA
rnacentral:lncRNA from 1 species